rnacentral:rRNA from 1 species
AGAGUGGAACGAGCGGCGGACGGGUGAGUAACACGUGGGCAACCUACCUAUAAGACUGGGAUAACUCGCGGAAACGUGAGCUAAUACCGGAUAAUACUUUUUAUUGCAUAAUAAGAAGUUUGAAAGGCGGCGUAAGCUGUCACUUAUAGAUGGGCCCGCGGCGCAUUAGCUAGUUGGUGAGGUAAAGGCUCACCAAGGCAACGAUGCGUAGCCGACCUGAGAGGGUGAUCGGCCACACUGGGACUGAGACACGGCCCAGACUCCUACGGGAGGCAGCAGUAGGGAAUCUUCCGCAAUGGACGAAAGUCUGACGGAGCAACGCCGCGUGAGUGAAGAAGGUUUUCGGAUCGUAAAACUCUGUUGUUAGGGAAGAACAAGUCAGGUAGUAACUGACCUGACCUUGACGGUACCUAACCAGAAAGCCACGGCUAACUACGUGCCAGCAGCCGCGGUAAUACGUAGGUGGCAAGCGUUGUCCGGAUUUAUUGGGCGUAAAGCGCUCGCAGGCGGUCUUUUAAGUCUGAUGUGAAAGCCCACGGCUUAACCGUGGAGGGUCAUUGGAAACUGGAGGACUUGAGUGCAGAAGAGGAGAGUGGAAUUCCAUGUGUAGCGGUGAAAUGCGUAGAGAUAUGGAGGAACACCAGUGGCGAAGGCGACUCUCUGGUCUGUAACUGACGCUGAGGAGCGAAAGCGUGGGUAGCGAACAGGAUUAGAUACCCUGGUAGUCCACGCCGUAAACGAUGAGUGCUAGGUGUUAGGGGGUUUCCGCCCCUUAGUGCUGAAGUUAACGCAUUAAGCACUCCGCCUGGGGAGUACGGCCGCAAGGCUGAAACUCAAAA